CUUGAUGAGGUCAUCCAAGGGUUAAAGUACUAUGGUGUGCUGGGCCUCAUCCGCAAUCAGCCUUCAUUGAGGUGCCUGUUUGAGUACAAAAAAGAUGCCCAAAUCACAGCAGUAGGGCUGAUCCAGGUUUUCAAGCCUAUGCUCUCUGUCCUUGGUAAUCAUAGGAGGGAAACUGAGCAGUCACUAAUGGACAGAUUUAAGCAAUUUGUCUUCAAAAUUGAAGAUAAAGAACUGGAGGAUGAGGACAUUUUCCAGGUUUCGGAAAGUGAUACUGAAG